UAAGAGUACUAUAAUUAGAUG
rnacentral:piRNA from 1 species